rnacentral:rRNA from 1 species
UACGAAGGGGACUAGCGUUGUUCGGAAUUACUGGGCGUAAAGCGUACGCAGGCGCUUGGUAAGUCGGAUGUGAAAUCCCCAGGCUCAACCUGGGAACUGCAUCCGAAACUACCUCGCUUGAGUUCGGGAGAGGGAAGUGGAAUUCCUGGUGUAGAGGUGAAAUUCGUUGAUAUCAGGAGGAACACCGGCGGCGAAAGCGGCUUCCUGGCCCGAUACUGACGCUCAUGUACGAAAGCGUGGG